rnacentral:rRNA from 1 species
UACGGGGGGGGCAAGCGGUUGUUCGGAAUUACUGGGCGUAAAGGGCUCGUAGGCGGCCAACUAAGUCAGACGUGAAAUCCCUCGGACUUAACCGGGGAACUGCGUCUGAUACUGGAUGGCUUGAGUUCGGGAGAGGGAUGCGGAAUUCCAGGUGUAGCGGUGAAGUGCGCAGAUAUCAGGAGGAACACCGGUGGCGAAGGGCGGGACUCUGGGCCGAUGACUGACGCUGGAGGAGCGAAAGCGUGGGGAGGCGAACAGGA